AGACACACCGGACGCGAUUCGACAACGCGACGCGAUUUUUUAGUUUUUGAAAGUUAAUAAAACAGCCAAUGAGAGCAAUACUUGGAAAAUUUAAAUUAAACUAGGAUCAAAGUUAUAGGUCGAAUCGAAAAUCGAAAAAUCGCGUCGCGUUGUCGAAUCGCGUCCGGUGUGUUC